rnacentral:rRNA from 2 species
GGACCUCAAAUCAGACGGGGCUACCCGCUGAAUUA